rnacentral:rRNA from 1 species
UACGAGGGGUGCAAGCGUUAUCCGGAAUGAUUGGGCGUAAAGCGUCCGCAGGUGGCUAUGUAAGUCUGCUGUUAAAGAGUGAGGCUCAACCUCAUAAGAGCAGUGGAAACUACAUGGCUAGAGUGCGUUCGGGGCAGAGGGAAUUCCUGGUGUAGCGGUGAAAUGCGUAGAUAUCAGGAAGAACACCGGUGGCGAAAGCGCUCUGCUAGGCCGCAACUGACACUGAGGGACGAAAGCUAGGGGAGCGAAUGGG